ensembl:snRNA LOC120093501 U4 spliceosomal RNA
AGCUUUGCGCAGUGGCAGUAUCGUAGCCAAUGAGGUUUAUCCGAGGCGCGAUUAUUGCUAAGAAAUAAUAAAAUCUGGCAUACUGAGGCUUAUUAAUUUUCAAAAGCCACCCUAAGG